rnacentral:tRNA from 13 species
GCCCGGAUGGUGAAAUUGGUAGACACCGCGGACUUAAAAUCCGCUGCGCCCUAAUCGGCGCGUGCCGGUUCGAUCCCGGCUCCGGGCACCA